UUAGGACUGAGGCCUCUGAGGCCUGAGGGAGCAGCCAGGGAAGAGCAGGGGCCAGUGCAUUCCCAGAAGCAAAACCAGCACAAGCAAAGGCCCCGAGGCAGGAAAGAGCGUCCUGUACCAGGCACUCAGCAAGGCCAGGGGAGGGAACGGAGCGUCCACAGCAGGGCGGGGCGUGGCCUGAGAGCCAGUGUCCCCUCCACGCCCAGGCCUGGACCUGCGUCCAUUAGACUCUGCAGUGUCCGAGGGGCAGCAAGCCAGAGGGGAUCUGCUCACUGUGGCCCUGGGUACUGGACCGACCCAGGCAGGAACAGCUCAAGACACUCAGAAAGGUUUUCACAAGCAAGAUUUGGGGCUAUUGGGUGUGCCCUUAAUCUGAAAAUUCCUGAAUAAGCAUCAUUUCCUGCAGAGUUCUCCUGUGCCCAGUCCUGAAGCAGCCACUCAGCCCUAACUGACUCAGCCCUCACACCGGCCUGCCCCGCAGGCCACCGCUGUCCCGUACAGAUGGGCACGCGGGCCCCGGGUGCUGAGUCCCUGGCCCAAGGCCAGGCGGCCAGGAGCCCGUUAAACCUCAGCUCUCCACUUACACCUCCCUCAGCUGUCCUGUGUGCCCCCGCCCCGCAGGGCAGAGGGCAGCUGAGCAAUCAGGUCUUGAACACUGGCAAGAGGUGGGCUGGGUUUACCACCUCCCAGGGGCGUGCAGGGCAAACCUCCCAGACCACACGGCCUCCGGGGUCCGGCCCUCAAACACAGCUGUGGACGAGGAAGACUGCGGCCUGGACUGCUGGGUCACAGCCACAAGGAGCAUCAGCCCAGGGCGACGCUAAGGGCGGCUGAGCCGAGAGCGACAGCACCUGCAGCUUGACCAGCGCGUCCAGUGAGUCGAUCUUGGAGAUCCGGUUGUUGAACAGGCUCAGGUCCUCCAGGUUCACCAGCGUGUCCAGCCCCUCGAUGGCCUCAAUGUUGUUGAAGGACAGGUCUGGAGGACGGCUCCGGGUUAGGGUGACUGUCCUGAAUCCAACCCCCCCCGACCCCCCGGCUCUGCUGCCACCUUCCCGGCCCCGGACUCGGGCGAAGGCUUGCGUCUGUGCGGCCCUCGUUCUGGGAUGGAAGCUCCCUAGUGGGUCGGGGCAGCGCACCUUGGGGUGGGGGAGACCCGCGCGGGCCGGGCUGCCCCAAACUCCAGGCCCAGCCCCGGCUGAGACCUUAGGAGCCCCUCUAGCCCAAGUUUCUCAUCUUUGGGAAUAAAACUGCUUUUCUGCCACCACGGGUUUGGGGGUUUGGUUGGGGUUGGUGUCCUUGAACACCGUUGGCCCAGAGGCCCAAACUGGGAACUUUUCAAGAGCUUCAGCUAAAGCCCUCAGUGUAA